rnacentral:rRNA from 1 species
GGUUAAGCGACUAAGCGUACACGGUGGAUGCCCUGGCAGUCAGAGGCGAUGAAGGACGUGCUAAUCUGCGAUAAGCGUCGGUAAGGUGAUAUGAACCGUUAUAACCGGCGAUUUCCGAAUGGGGAAACCCAGUGUGUUUCGACACACUAUCAUUAACUGAAUCCAUAGGUUAAUGAGGCGAACCGGGGGAACUGAAACAUCUAAGUACCCCGAGGAAAAGAAAUCAACCGAGAUUCCCCCAGUAGCGGCGAGCGAACGGGGAGCAGCCCAGAGCCUGAAUCAGUAUGUGUGUUAGUGGAAGCGUCUGGAAAGGCGCGCGAUACAGGGUGACAGCCCCGUACACAAAAAUGCACAUGCUGUGAGCUCGAUGAGUAGGGCGGGACACGUGGUAUCCUGUCUGAAUAUGGGGGGACCAUCCUCCAAGGCUAAAUACUCCUGACUGACCGAUAGUGAACCAGUACCGUGAGGGAAAGGCGAAAAGAACCCCGGCGAGGGGAGUGAAAAAGAACCUGAAACCGUGUACGUACAAGCAGUGGGAGCACGCUUAGGCGUGUGACUGCGUACCUUUUGUAUAAUGGGUCAGCGACUUAUAUUCUGUAGCAAGGUUAACCGAAUAGGGGAGCCGAAGGGAAACCGAGUCUUAACUGGGCGUUAAGUUGCAGGGUAUAGACCCGAAACCCGGUGAUCUAGCCAUGGGCAGGUUGAAGGUUGGGUAACACUAACUGGAGGACCGAACCGACUAAUGUUGAAAAAUUAGCGGAUGACUUGUGGCUGGGGGUGAAAGGCCAAUCAAACCGGGAGAUAGCUGGUUCUCCCCGAAAGCUAUUUAGGUAGCGCCUCGUGAAUUCAUCUCCGGGGGUAGAGCACUGUUUCGGCAAGGGGGUCAUCCCGACUUACCAACCCGAUGCAAACUGCGAAUACCGGAGAAUGUUAUCACGGGAGACACACGGCGGGUGCUAACGUCCGUCGUGAAGAGGGAAACAACCCAGACCGCCAGCUAAGGUCCCAAAGUCAUGGUUAAGUGGGAAACGAUGUGGGAAGGCCCAGACAGCCAGGAUGUUGGCUUAGAAGCAGCCAUCAUUUAAAGAAAGCGUAAUAGCUCACUGGUCGAGUCGGCCUGCGCGGAAGAUGUAACGGGGCUAAACCAUGCAC